CGCUGAAAAGCGGCGCUGCCGCGAGAGACCCUGAGCCUAGAAGGCGGUUUGUUUUCGCUAAAGAGAUACAGUCUCGGCUAUUGCGGCAGCAAUGAGGAAAAAUAGAACGGUGGUCACAGAAGAAGAAAUCUCAAAUAUAUAGUCACCAGAAAAUAAAGAGAAAUAGGCUGGCAUACAACUGGACAAAAAGCAGAAAGCAUAUGUUGAAAUCACCCAUCUGCAAAACUAAUUGCACAGGAAUUUCCAGCAGUUUCUCCAUACAAGUACUGGCAAGACUCAACACAACUAGUUUUUAAGAUCAGCCAAGUUCAAUUAAAUGCUGCCAACCUCUAAGGCUACUGCUACUCAAGAAUUGGAGUUCCACUGGCAAAAAAUAAAUAAAUGGCAAAGCAAUCCCAUUUUCACCAUCCAA